rnacentral:rRNA from 1 species
CCUACACGAAGUCGGAAUCGCUAGUAAUCGCGGAUCAGCAUGCCGCGGUGAAUACGUUCCCGGGCCUUGUACACACCGCCCGUCACACCAUGAGAGUUGGCAAUACCCAACGUACGCGAUCUAACCCGCAAGGGAGGAAGCAUCCUAAGGUAGGGUCAGCGAUUGGGGUGAAGUCGUAACAAGGUAGC